rnacentral:tRNA from 1 species
GGAGGUGUGGCUCAGUUGGUAGAGUGCUUGCCUAGCAUGCUGGAGGCUCUGGGUUCCAUCCCCUGCUCUG